CGGAGCCGCCCCCGCUCCGUGCCCGGCCCCGCGCUGCGGGCCCUUCGUUUGAAAAUAAAGCCGUCAUCAAAACCAUUCGGACACUGCAUGAAACUCGCCUGUUCACACCCUGCAGUAUCUGAACAAGAACCUGGCCCAGAUCGUAUGUUCUGCAUCUCCAUCUGUGCUGGCUCAGCCUGCUGCUCGUGGUUCUGCUUGAUUUUGGCAGCUCUGUGCAGGUCUAUCCCUGGGCCCAUAAGCAAACUGUGUGGCUUCAGUUCCAAUACACAACCUUUUCUUCUACUGCUACUUCUUGCUAACUUAAAAGGCCUGCUGGUUGUGGGACAUAUUCUGAGGACAUUUUCAAAACCACCGUAAGUUACUUUUGAGCCUCAACCUAAAAAUUAAAAAGAUUUGACAGUUUUGAAAAUUAAUUUCCUCCUUUAUCUUCUGUGUAACCCUAUUGCUUGCUUCACGUUCAGUCAUUGAAUCUCGAUGCAUGCAGCAGAAAUGCAUGUGGAGACACUCAGCUGGUGCAUUCAGUAAGUGUAGAUCCUGCUUGCAUAAACUAAGACUCAAGUGGGAAAAAAAAUCCGACCAAAAGCACCUUUGGGUACACUUUAAAUGUAUGUCACGAUCUCACAAUCUCCUCCAAGUUAACAAAUUGUAUUUUAGAACUGUGUUUGGUAAUUAUUGCAUUCAUACCUCAGAAGUAAGACCCAGGCAUUAUGGUUGGUUGGAAUUCAUCUGAAUAAAUAGCAGUUUGCCACAUUCUUAACAAAAACAUUAUUCAUUAGAACUAUUACGUAUUAGCAGCCCUGAAUAACAUUUGGCAAUUGCUUUGGGUCUGUGUUACUAAAAGGUCCAUAGACGCAUACAAAUUGCUCAGUACGCUAAUAUAAAACAGGAGCAGUAAUGAAAUAGUAAAGUGAGUAUUAAGCUCCAGGACUGCAGUUUUAUUCUUCAAAAUGUUCCUCUUGUAAUUUGUAAACAUCUUAGAAACUCGGGUGUUUUUAAGCUAUUUGAUGACUGUUAGUCGUAAGACUUGAUUUGUAUUUGCUGCCUGUCCCUCUGCAUCUGCAAAAGGCAUUAGUGGCAAGCUGAGCUGGUCAGAUGAUUUUCAGGCAUUGCAGCAAUAAGCCUUAAGUACUUCAGAGGAUUUAGAACAUAGAUUCCUGCAGAUAGCUAUUGGCAAAAACCCUCUGAAAAAAGUGGCCAAAUGGGUGCUAUGGUUAGUAGUGCAGACUGGUAGGGUAGAAGGAAGUGCAUAGAUACAACGGGAGACUUAGCAGGUUCUGUAAAAGUAAUAAUGAUUCUUCAGAUCAUUUGUGACCUCCCUGCCCCAUGCAUGGCUCUAGAUUUUUGGAAAAGAAGACACUUCUAAUGAGCCACUAAAUGACUACUCUUCCAAGAAGCUUACAUUAUAUCCCACUCAGAAGAGGUGUAGCCAGGAAGAAGAAAAAAUUUUCCUUAUCCUACACAUACUGUCACAGAAAAGGAAAGGAGGGUCUAACAAAAGAAUUUCUGGGAUGUCUGUAUAGUAUCUGGACACUUCUGGACCUUUAGAGAGUUUAUUUAUGAACACUGCUGUGAGAUGAUUCUACUUCCCAAAGGACAGAAAAAGUUAGACACACUUCCUUAAAGUUAUUAGAAAUUCUUACAUUCUGUAUCAGACUAAACUGCUUGCUUGAGAUCGUUCAGAAAGCCUCUAAAUGAAGAUGAAUUUUGUUACUUCAAGUUCUAUGGUUUAUGACUCCAACCUCUGAAAUCUGUACAUAAUCUAUUAACCAAGCAAAGAAUCCUUCCUUUAUUGAAAUCCGAAUGGUUUCCAAAGCAUCUGCUUCCAGUUCUGUUGGCAAUCUGGAGGAUACAUUGUAGAUACCUUAAGGGAGAAGUAAAGCUCAAGAGCCAUGGAUUUAUAUACAUUGCCCAUCACUGUGACAGGGUAUGGGAAAUGAAUCUCUGAUGUCACCAACUUGAAAAGUUGGAAGGAACAAUGUAUCUUCUAUAAGGUGAGAGGACUAGAGUGUUCCUUCUUGGGCUAUCCAUUUAAAAAAAAAAGUCUUAUAGAAAGGCAAGACAACAGCUUGCCUUAAACUGAUUUCUAAUUCAAUGAUGUGAGAUAUUUGAGUGAAGAGAAGGACUAGAGGAGGGAACAGAGAAGAAAAGCAUAUCAACAUCCAAUUGUGUCUUGUUUUUCUGGGUGAUAAUAGUCUGGGGGUUUGGACUUGGGGAAAGUGUUUGGAAAAACAAAAAUGCCAAGGAAAGAACCUGAACAAUAAGUGCUUUUUCCGCUGGUGUUGGUGUCAGUCUUGCUCAGACCUGUUAGGUGCUUUCAGGGCAACCAGGAUUCCCCUGUUCUUAAAAGCAGUGCAACACUGGGGCUCUACUCCAGAUCAGUUCAGAAGCAGUCAGGCACAUGAAAGAUGAUAUUCAUGACAAAUACUUCCUCCUUA